rnacentral:rRNA from 1 species
GACGAACGCUGGCGGCGUGCCUAAUACAUGCAAGUAGAACGCUGAAGCGAGGAGCUUACUCUUCUUGGAUGAGUUGCGAACGGGUGAGUAACGCGUAGGUAACCUGCCUUGUAGCGGGGGAUAACUAUUGGAAACGAUAGCUAAUACCGCAUAACAAUGGAUGACACAUGUCAUUUAUUUGAAAAGGGCAAUUGCUCCACUACAAGAUGGACCUGCGUUGUAUUAGCUAGUAGGUGAGGUAAUGGCUCACCUAGGCGACGAUACAUAGCCGACCUGAGAGGGUGAUCGGCCACACUGGGACUGAGACACGGCCCAGACUCCUACGGGAGGCAGCAGUAGGGAAUCUUCGGCAAUGGGGGCAACCCUGACCGAGCAACGCCGCGUGAGUGAAGAAGGUUUUCGGAUCGUAAAGCUCGGUUGUAAGUCAAGAACGGGUGUGAGAGUGGAAAGUUCACACUGUGACGGUAGCUUACCAGAAAGGGACGGCUAACUACGUG